UGGAGCCCAAAAGCAUGAUUGAUAAAAGUGUAAUUUAUGGAAAUUAUUUUAGUUUUUUAGAAUGGGUAGGUUUGCCUAUAAAUGUGUUCAUCAAUAAUCAGAUUCUGCAUGCACAAAUAUCAACACUCCCCAACAAAAGAACAUACAAUUUCGUUGACUACCACAUACAACCCAAAUGUUGAUAAUAACUGCCUAUAUCAAGCAAGAAAUUCUGAGAAGGCCACACAUUCCUCCAAAAAUAAAUUAUAUAAUAUAUGUAAUACCAACCCAUGAGAACAACUACUUUCCAAUUCCACAUAUGAGAAAAAGGCAAAGAAGCAUCAAAUAAACUAAAGAUUUAGACAACAAACACAUUAAACCAUGUUCAUCAGAAGUAAGCACUAAUCUAAAACUCAGACUGCAAAGAGAAACUUACAUAAAACAGUAGCAAUAUACUCCCAAAAUCAAAUAGAAAGUUGAAUCUGCAAAACCCAGAAACAGAUAACUCUUCAAUCUGCAAAACUAUGCCACAAACCAAGCCUAUAGCAUGGGUGGCCCAAUAAUUAGCUGGGUUCCCAACGGGUCUGUGUAUACAAAGGGCAUAUAUUAUGAGUUUUUGAAAAAUUUCCCUUAUUAGUAGUAUAUGCAGAUUACAUUGAGGCUUGGCGAGAUCUACAUCAAAGCAUUUAAAAAUUAAUGUGCCUUAUCGUAAAUCUUUUGGGUUCAAUUUAAGAAGUGUGAGAAAAAUUAAUGUCUAUUUCAGUUCAAAAAGGUGUCAUACCUCAAUACUAAUUUUCUUCCAUUUGGGGGAUCGAAAAUCAACAGAGCACUAUCCAGAUUGAUUUCUAAGACAAUCUGAGAUCCGAAAAAGAUGAACGUAGACCAAAACAAAAC
rnacentral:lncRNA from 1 species